AAAAGACCACGUUUUUGUAUUGGUGGGUUCAUAUGGAAUUUAUUACGUGAGAGACAGAAUAAAAGCAAAUGAAAUACGAGCAGAUUAUUGUAAACAAGCAGUAAUAUAUGGGGAAGAAACCAUUCAAACUGUGAGCAAACCAAGAAAAGUAACAAUCAUAUUAAAUCCUGCUGCCAGAAAGGGGAAAGCUAAGAAGCUGAUUGAGAAGAAUGCUGCUCCUCUGUUGCAUCUAGCUGGUAUCAAUGUGGAAAUAAUUAAGGC